CAGCUAAAGCAACCACAGCUCCUACUUCCAAUUUACUGCUCAAAUAAGUUUUCCACUCCAUAAGAAAGUUUCAUGGCCUGCCUGAACUCCCAGACAGUGUAUGGAGGCAGUCUUACCCGUUUCCCCACGCCUCCCUGUGUAAAAGCCCCAGCCCCCAGCUCCAGUCCGCCCUCCCUCUUGCUCACUCACUCACUUCUGCGCUCCAGGCAUGACAGCAGCAACAGUUUACUCCGAGAACCGCUCCCACCAACCAGUCAUUACACACACAGCGACCAGUGUAACCGAGGAGCACAGACCGAGAAGAAGAAAAGCUUCCUGUGCUGUAAAGAAACAACGCCUGAUUCGGCAGAGCUGACCAAAUCAACCUGUUUCCAUCCGGUUUGGAAAUCUCCUCAUCCUUCACUUAAUCAGCUGAUCAUCACAGGUGCAGAUACCACAUGAGAGGAGGAUUACCAACACGUCACUUUCUUUUCCACCAACACGGAGAACGGAGAAUGUGGAAUUUCUCUUGUCGCUGGACCCUCCCCUGUGCUGCCCAACCACUAUGAGGAAUCGGAUUCCAGCUCCUGUCACCUGCACCGCACCCGGACUCCUGAGGAGGCUGACGGAGGCCGACUGGACUUGAUCACUCCUCCUGCUCGGACGCAACUUGGAGAAAGGAGUUUGCGAAAGCGUCACCUAAAAACUGAAGGCAGUUAGU
rnacentral:lncRNA from 1 species